rnacentral:rRNA from 1 species
UGACGAUGCGACGCCGCGUGAAGGAUGAAGGUCUUCGGAUCGUAAACUUCUUUUAGUAGGGAAGAAUCUUGUGGGGUUGAAUAGGCCCUGCAGGUGACGGUACCUACAGAAAAAGCCACGGCUAACUCCGUGCCAGCAGCCGCGGUAAUACGGAGGUGGCGAGCGUUGCUCGGAUUUAUUGGGUGUAAAGGGUCUGUAGGCGGUUCUGUAAGUCGAAUGUGAAAUCCCACCGCUCAACGGUGGAACUGCAUUCGAAACUGCAGGACUUGAGUCAGGGAGAGGAGAGGGGAAUUCCCGGUGUAAGGGUGAAAUCUGUAGAGAUCGGGAGGAACACCAGUGGCGAAGGCGCCUCUCUGGCCCAUGACUGACGCUGAGCGACGAAAGCUAGGGGAGCAAACAGGAUUAGAUACCCUGGUAGUCCUAGCCGUAAACGAUGAGGACUAGGUGCCGGUUCGUUAAGGAUCGGUGCCGAAGUUAACACAUUAAGUCCUCCACCUGGGGAGUACGUCCGCAAGGAUGAAACUCAAAGGAAUUGACGGGGACCCGCACAAGCGGUGGAGCAUGUGGUUUAAUUGGAUGCUACACCAGAAACCUUACCAGGGCUUGACAUGUACAUGAAAGGCCAUCGAAAGA